rnacentral:rRNA from 1 species
UACGUAGGGGGCUAGCGUUGUUCGGAAUUACUGGGCGUAAAGGGCGCGUAGGCGGUACUUCAAGUCAGGCGUGAAAGCCCCGGGCUCAACCUGGGAACCGCGCUUGAGACUGGAGAACUAGAGUUCGGGAGAGGGUGGUGGAAUUCCCAGUGUAGAGGUGAAAUUCGUAGAUAUUGGGAAGAACACCGAUGGCGAAGGCAGCCAUCUGGACCGACACUGACGCUGAGGCGCGAAAGCGUGGGGAGCAAACAGG